rnacentral:tRNA from 1 species
CGUUCUAUGGCCGAAGGCGAAGAUGCGGGUUCGAGUCCCGCUGGAACGG